rnacentral:rRNA from 1 species
CCUGUGACCUAAACAACUGCCGGAUACUACAAACCAUGUUUAAAAUUCAAAGAACUUGGCGGUGUCUUAUACAACCAGGGGAACCUGUCCCUUAAUUCGAUAUUCCACGAAUGUCUUACCUUCCCUUGUAUCCCAGCCUGUGUACUGCCGUCGCAUGUAUGCCUCUGAAAGUAAGCAUACAACAAUAAACACUACCGAUGUCAGGUCAAAGUGCAGCCUAUGGGGAGGGGGUGAUGGGUUACACCUCUAACCAGAGCCAACCGCCAAUGAAAAUUGGCCUUAAAGAUGGACCUGAAAGUAAUGAUUCUACUAAAUAAUCAUGAAUUGGAAUCUAAGACAUGCACACAUCGCCCGUCACUCUCGUCGAAAGAUG